AACAUCGGCCAGCAGCUGCAUUUAUGUAGAGGAAAGUCCGUGCUAACACCACCUGCAAUGGUGGUAGUGUUCAUGUUAGGUCUAAUAAACCUAAGCCCAGACGACUAGUGCCACAGAGACGAGCAAAGUGAAACGCGGUAAACUCCAUGAGUUAGAAACCCAAAUUACGGUAGGGGAAUUUUGACUAGGAAUUCAAACAAAGUCAAAAAAUGUAUAUACAUUAGAUAAAUUGCUGGCACUGCUUGUAGCAGUACAGAACACGGCUUAUAGAU
rnacentral:RNase_P_RNA from 2 species